ensembl:lncRNA
AGAUGAGCCAGAAUGAGUGAUGGAGGUGCACUGAGUCCCUGCUGCUCUCACUGGAGGUCACCUUGAUCUUCCCCAUCUUCAACCUUGGCUGCUGAUAGCACUGCUAACACAGCUAUGGGCUUGGGAGCACCCAAUGGGAACCACAGCGUUGGGCUGGUAGAGCACCCAUUCUUCUAGGAAUGUCCCUGAGCAGAUCACGCUGCACAGAGCUUCCAAGUAUGAACAAAUCUAAAUGAAGACAGCUGGCAGAGGCUCUCGUCAUCUAACUCCUUCCAGAUGUGUACUUGUAUGCUGCAGUUCCUGACUGGUGACACCUCUGAGGGAAUCCUUGGGGACACGGCGGUGAUGGGGGAAAGCCCUUGCAGCUCUGACACAGAAGAGCGGCACCGAGCCUUGGUCUGUUCCUGCCCUUUUUCCCACUCCAGUUCCAGGCUGGGUGUUGGAGGCUGGAGUCCCAUGUGCUAUCACACUGGAAACACUGUGUCCUCUGAGCACCACCUCACAAAGCCGCCUGCUGCUGACCAUUACUCCCAUUCCUGAUGAAGUGAAAGGAUGCAGGGAUGAAGUCACUCUUACUCAGCCUUGUGAUCUCAUUUCAGUGAGCAUUCAGGACUGUUUGCUCGAAGCCUUACUGGUGCUGAACGGGAUUGCGCAAUUCAGGCUUCAGGAGCUGCCGUGUGGGUGUGUGCGUACUCUCUGCACAGGAAGGAGCACAGAGAGUUCCUUGUAGUAGCCUUUGUUUCAAGGCUCUGGAGAACAUCUUAAAAGCCUGUCCCUCUCCUAUGUCAUCUGUAACUUCCUUUGCACUGGAACACACGCACUGAGUGGGAGAGGUAAUGACAGUGGAGAGAAAGUACUCACAAUAUAAACAUACUUUCACCUUGCGCAGAUAGCAGAAGGGAGCCCAACAAAUGGCCCUGCCAGGAAAGGAAUCUCCUUCCAACUUGGUGUGUCUGCUAGGGGAAGACUGGGAACACUGUGUUUUCUGCAGGGCCAUCUGAUGCUGUCUGCGAUGCUGCACUUGUUUACUGCAGCGUGUUGUGGCUCUGGGAAUUGCAGCACAGAAAUGUCCAAAAGGUUUUAUACUUGGCUUAUUUCUCAGAAAGCUGUGACUUGGAAAACUCAGGCCGGCCUAACUUUUCUUCCAAGUAUUCAAACAAUAUGCUUGGUAAUGUCAUUCUGCAGACAGUUUUGAUUUCUGAUUUUUCCAAUUAAUUUUGGGAGAAAACAGAGGUCCUGGAAUUUCCCACAAAGCAGAAUUUCUGUUGUUCCACCAGCUUGACUCAGCAAGAAUUUCUCCCACAGGAAUUUGGCCCCUCAGCUGCUUGCUGCAAAAGGAUCACAGAGGAUCCAGUGAGAGACAGGAAGAUGGACAGUGAAACAAGGGGAGCGACUCCUCUCAACCUGACACAAUUACGGACUAUGGGAGAAGCACCCAGGCUACAAAAUCAACUCAUGAGGACAAACCAAGGGAUGCUGCUGCCCCUUGAACGUUUUUCUGUCUUGCUCUCCAGGAGCUGAGGAUCUCUGGACAAACUCUGAGAGACAGAGGCGAGUGAAACUGCCAGUGGGUGGUGCAUGGGCAUCUCUAAUGCUCGCAAAUAUGAGCCUCACGCUGCCCAUGCCCGCUGCAUGUAUUCUAUUUAAACCACAGCAGAGGGAGCGUUGGCAAAGCGUCUCAGCAGAGCAACCUUUUGUUAUACCUGC